GAUGAACGCUAGCUACAGGCUUAACACAUGCAAGUCGAGGGGAAACGACAUCGAAAGCUUGCUUUUGAUGGGCGUCGACCGGCGCACGGGUGAGUAACGCGUAUCCAACCUGCCCACCACUAGGGGAUAACCUUGCGAAAGUAAGACUAAUACCCAAUGAUAUCUCUAGAAGACAUCUGAAAGAGAUUAAAGAUAUAUCGGUGAUGGAUGGGGAUGCGUCUGAUUAGCUUGUUGGCGGGGUAACGGCCCACCAAGGCAACGAUCAGUAGGGGUUCUGAGAGGAAGGUCCACCACAUUGGAACUGAGACACGGUCCAAACUCCUACGGGAGGCAGCAGUGAGGAAUAUUGGUCAAUGGACGAGAGUCUGAACCAGCCAAGUAGCGUGCAGGAUGACGGCCCUAUGGGUUGUAAACUGCUUUUAUAAGGGAAUAAAGUGAGUCUCGUGAGGCUUUUUGCAUGUACCUUAUGAAUAAGGACCGGCUAAUUCCGUGCCAGCAGCCGCGGUAA
rnacentral:rRNA from 1 species